rnacentral:misc_RNA from 1 species
GAUGAAGAACGUAGCGAAAUGCGAUAAGUAAUGCGAAUUGCAGAAUUUCCGUGAGUCAUCGAAACUUUGAACGCACAUUGCGCCCACUGGUAUUCCGGUGGGCAUGCCUGUUCGAGCGUCAUUAUCCUCCCUCAAGCCCCGGGUUUGGUGUUGGACCCAAGUUGUGUGAACAACUGGUCUUAAAGACAAUGACGGCGUCCGUGGGACCCUCGGUGCAACGAGCUUUUAGGAGCACGCAUCGAGUUGCAAGGACCUUCCGGGCCGGUCUCCUUUACUAUUUUACAAGGUUGACCUCGGAUCAGGUAGGAAUACCCGCUGAACUUAAGCAUAUCAAUAAGCGGAGGA